GUUCCAAAGCAAUGUUUGGCCUGAUAUGACUGCUCCUGAUGAUUCUAGUGUUCUCAUAGAUCUAGUUCUAGCAACACAACAUCAAAUGGAAAUUGAAAAAAGUGUAUGUCCCAUUCUUGUGCAUUGCUCAGCAGGGGUUGGACGAACUGGUACAUUUAUUGCUGUACAUAAACUGUACAACGACAUAUUAAAGAACCAAAUUCCUGAUGUAUAUGAAACUGUUCUAACGAUGCGCCGACAAAGAACCACCAUGGUCCAGAAGGUAUAUACUAAGCAUUGUUUUA